rnacentral:sRNA from 1 species
UCUGCUUGAAUAUGCUGUUGGUCAAAUGC